UCUGAAAGUAAUUCAAGAUGUGGCGGC
rnacentral:piRNA from 1 species